GAUGAACGCUGGCGGCGUGCCUAACACAUGCAAGUCGAACGGAGAUUACGGACGGAAGUUUUCGGAUGGAAGCCUGUAAUUCUUAGUGGCGGACGGGUGAGUAACGCGUGGGCAACCUGCCCUAUACAGGGGGAUAGCAGCUGGAAACGGCUGGUAAGACCGCAUAAGUCGGUUAAAUCGCAUGAUUUGAUCGGGAAAUGAGCAAUCAGGUAUAGGAUGGGCCCGCGUCCGAUUAGCCAGUUGGCAGGGUAAAAGCCUACCAAAGCGACGAUCGGUAGCCGGACUGAGAGGUCGGACGGCCACAUUGGGACUGAGACACGGCCCAAACUCCUACGGGCGGCAGCAGUGGGGGAUAUUGCACAAUGGAGGAAACUCUGAUGCAGCGACGCCGCGUGAGUGAAGAAGUAUUUCGGUAUGUAAAGCUCUAUCAGCAGGGAAGAUGAUGACGGUACCUGACGAAGAAGCCCCGGCUAACUACGUG
rnacentral:rRNA from 1 species